AUUAAAUUAAGUGUGCUUAUAGAAUCCGGACACUUGGACUUAACGUCCCCAGUUCGACCUUUCUCUUACACGACCAAAGAUUAGAAUGAUGUAGGGAACAACACCUUUAGAAUGUGAAAUAGAAUGACGUCUUCAGACGUUGUUUGAUCAGACAUGGCAUUCACUAUUUUGUAUGAAGAGGUCUAUACAACGAACAACUAGUUAGUAGUACGGGUUUCCAAAAGAUUCAAAUAUGACAAAUAGACACAUGGUCUCCUUCCUAGAAAAUCUAAAUGUUC